rnacentral:rRNA from 1 species
AGCGAACGCUGGCGGCAGGCCCAACACAUGCAAGUCGAACGAAAUCUUCAGACGCAGUGGCGGAAGGGUGAGGGACACGUGGUGACGUGACGUUAGGUUCGGACUAACUAAGAGAAACUAGUGCUAAUAACGAAGGUGCCCCUCGGGGGAUAGAUUUAUCGCCUAUAGAGCGGCCCGCGUCGGAUUGGAUAGUUGGUGGGGUAAAGGCUGCUCAAGGGGACGAUCAGUAGCGGGUCUGAGAGGAUGAUCAACCACAUUGGGACGGAGACACGGCCCAAACUCCUACGGGAGGCAGCAGUGGGGAAUCUUGCGUAAUGGGCGAAAGACUGAAGCAGCCAUGCCGGGUGAAUGAUGAAGGUCUUAGGAUUGCAAAAUUCCUUCACCGGUGGCGAUAAUGACGGUACCCGGAGAAGAAGCCCCGGCUAACUUCGUGCCAGCCGCCGCGGUAAGAC